rnacentral:rRNA from 1 species
UGGGGAAUAUUGGACAAUGGGCGAAAGCCUGAUCCAGCCAUGCCGCGUGAGUGACGAAGGCCUUAGGGUUGUAAAACUCUUUCGUCGGGGACGAUAAUGACGGUACCCGAAGAAGAAGCUCCGGCUAACUUCGUGCCAGCAGCCGCGGUAAUACGAAGGGAGCUAGCGUUGUUCGGAAUCACUGGGCGUAAAGCGCACGUAGGCGGAUAGUUAAGUCAGGGGUGAAAUCCUGGGGCUCAACCCCAGAACUGCCUUUGAUACUGGCUGUCUCGAGGUCGAGAGAGGUUGGUGGAAUUCCUAGUGUAGAGGUGAAAUUCGUAGAUAUUAGGAAGAACACCAGUGGCGAAGGCGGCCAACUGGCUCGAUACUGACGCUGAGGUGCGAAAGCGUGGGGAGCAAACAGGAUUAGAUACCCUAGUAGUCCC